rnacentral:rRNA from 1 species
AUUGAACGCUGGCGGCAGGCCUAACACAUGCACGUCGAACGAGUGGCGGACGGGUGAGUCAUGUCUGGGAACCUGCUUGAUGGCGGGGGAUAACUCCUGGAAACGGUAGCUAAUACCGAAUAGCAUCAGCUGUUCCCAGAUGGGAUUAGCUAGGUGGUGGGGUAACGGCUCACCAAGGCGACGAUCCCUAGCUGGUCUGAGAGGAUGACCAGCCACACUGGAACUGAGACACUGUCCAGACUCCUACGGGAGGCAGCAGUGGGGAAUAUUGCACAAUGGGCGCAAGCCUGAUGCAGCCAUGCCGCGUGUAUGAAGAAGGCCUUCGGGUUGUAAAGUACUGUCAGCGGGGAGGCGUUACCCGCAGAGGAAGCGCCGGCUAACUCCGUGCCAGCAGCCGCGGUAAUUC